rnacentral:rRNA from 1 species
UGGGGAAUUUUGGACAAUGGGCGCAAGCCUGAUCCAGCCAUGCCGCGUGGAUGAUGAAGGCCCUAGGGUUGUAAAGUCCUUUCGACGGGGAAGAUAAUGACGGUACCCGUAGAAGAAGCCCCGGCUAACUUCGUGCCAGCAGCCGCGGUAAUACGAAGGGGGCUAGCGUUGCUCGGAAUCACUGGGCGUAAAGCGCACGUAGGCGGACUCUUAAGUCGGUGGUGAAAUCCUGGAGCUCAACUCCAGAACUGCCUUCGAUACCGAGAGUCUCGAGUCCGAGAGAGGUGAGUGGAACUGCGAGUGUAGAGGUGAAAUUCGUAGAUAUUCGCAAGAACACCAGUGGCGAAGGCAGCUCACAAAACUGUAACUGACGCUGAGGCACGAAAGUGCGGGGAUCAAACAGGAUUAGAUACCCGCGUAGUCCCUGAGCGGGCUGGCAAGGCGCAU